rnacentral:tRNA from 1 species
GGGAGCAUGACUCAGCGGUAGAGUGUGUGCCUUACAAGCACGAAGUCGGGAGUUCAAUCCUCUCUGCUCUCA